GCCCUCUCAGGAUCACACUUGGAGAGUUUCCAGGCCUCUACCAGUCUCGGCUGUGGGAGGGAGAGUCAAGCAGAGGCCCGUCCAUUCCAUUCCUAGUUUGGGCAGUGGCUAGUGAGUGGGAGGUCAUCUACUACAAAG